rnacentral:rRNA from 1 species
UACGUAGGGGGCAAGCGUUGUCCGGAUUUAUUGGGCGUAAAGAGCGUGUAGGCGGCCUGAAAGGUCAGCUGUGAAAACUCGAGGCUCAACCUCGAGACGUCGGUUGAAACCAUCUGGCUAGAGUCCGGAAGAGGAGUGUGGAAUUCCCGGUGUAGCGGUGAAAUGCGCAGAUAUCAGGAGGAACACCGGUGGCGAAGGCGGGUCUCUGGGCCAUUACUGACGCUGAGGAGCGAAAGCGUGGGGAGCGAACAGG